rnacentral:lncRNA from 1 species
UUUUAGUUAGCAUGAAAGGAGAGAAUAACCAAGAAGUGAGUGCUAGGGUUGUGAAAUUCGUCCAAAAUAAAUAGGGGCUUUAAAAGUGGCUAAAAGGCAAGUUUUUAUGGGGUAAAAGAGGCUGCAAGAUAUUCCAAAGAGAUCCUAACAAAUCAAACUGAAUUUUGCACCUUUUUUCCUUAUUUGGCACCUCAAAAUCAGGCCAGAAAUCCC